CCUGAUUUCCACUCAUAUUAUCUCCACCACACAGCCCCAGCCAGCGAGUCUUCAGUGCCUUCACAUCCAGGGGUCCCUCAGGAAGCAGCCGUCCAUGAAGGUCAAAGCACAUUCAAGAUGUGAAGCUAUAUUGAUUCCAGAUAUCCUUCUCUUGGCUGAGGUCCAUCUCCGGAUCUUGAUGGGCUUUUCGAUUUGCCGAAAAUAAGGAUGAUUUCUGAUGCAUUUCUGACUUUUCAGCACAUGCUCAAUAAUUUGACAAAUAUGAAAUCUAUAUUUUUAUUUCGUGCACAAAUCAUUUUUGGAUUCCCCCCGUAAGUCAUACAUGAUAUUGACUCAUUAGAUAUCCUGAGAUAGGCCUAUGUGGACUUCUUAUCUUAUUUUCUCUAUAUGCUGAGAAAUACUGACAGUAGGCCUACAUAGUAUAUUUUCAGCAUAUACAAUGCAUAUGCUCUUGAGUGAGGUUCAUAUCAGGAUCUUGAUGUGAAUUUUGAUAUGCUAAAUAAGGAACAUUUCUGAUGCUUAUAUGAGUUGAGGACAUGCUCAAUAAUUUGACAAAUAUUAAAUCCAUAUCAUUCUUUCAGACGCUAGCUAUAAUUUUUGUAUUUCCAUCUGGAUAAAGUAAUUUUGAAACCAUAAGCACUGUAACUGGUUGCCUAGCAACAAUAAUCAUGUAUUUUCAGCUGUGGAGUUCCAACUGUAAUUUUUUUUAUUUGGGCACCACAAAUUAGUGUGUAGCAUUAAACCGUGUUUAGUCGAACUGACAACUGGAGAAACAAGGAAGUGAGAAGCUGUUCAGAAAAUACCUCAAAGAAGUUAACGCUAAAUUUGGAGGGGAUCACAGACCAUAACUACCAUCACGUUGGGUCAGGACUGCAAGGGACCGCCGCUGACGAUCCAAUCUGCACUCAUCGCAUCUAUUUUCCAUAACAAAGUUUAAUCAGGGGGAUUGAGGGUGUGCAACUUUUAUUUUCUGUUAAAUAAAUAAAAUCC